AUUGAACGCUGGCGGCAGGCCUAACACAUGCAAGUCGAACGAGGGGCGGACGGGUGAGUAAUGUCGGGGAAACUGCCUGAUGGAGGGGGAAAACUAGUGGAAACGGUAGAAAAUAGCGCAUAACAUGAUAUGUGCCGAGAUGGGAUUAGCUAGUGGGUGGGGUAACGGCUCACCAAGGCGACGAGCCCUAGCUGGUCUGAGAGGAUGACCAGCCACACUGGAACUGAGACACGGUCCAGACUCCUACGGGAGGCAGCAGUGGGGAAUAUUGCACAAUGGGCGCAAGCCUGAUGCAGCCAUGCCGCGUGUAUGAAGAAGGCCUUCGGGUUGUAAAGUACUUUCAGCGGGGAGGCGUUACCCGCAGAAGAAGCACCGGCUAACUCCGUGCCAGCAGCCGCGGUAAUAC
rnacentral:rRNA from 1 species